rnacentral:pre_miRNA from 1 species
UUAUUAAUUUUUUAUUCAUUUGUAUCGUUAAAAAUUGACAUGAUUAACAGAAUAAUCAAACAAUAACACGUGACAUGUCACGUGUACUUUGUGCUCACAUACAUUGAUCAAUUUCGUAAUUGUAGAAAUAAAUGAAUUUUUAGCAA